rnacentral:piRNA from 1 species
UUGGUACCUUUUCAAGGACAGCUAGAUUGU